UUUAAGCACCAGUAUUGUUUGCACAUUUACUUUGAUAAUCCUUUACAUGUUGUGUGGAUUGUUUGUUUUCAGUGAUAUCAACUUAUGCAUUAAGCUCUCAUCUGCAGAAGGCAUGUGCAAUAGUGAGACUGGAUCUGAAGGAAAAAGCACAAUGUUUCAGCAAGACUGAUCUCAGAAUGAUGGCACUGAUGUUUUGUUCUGUUUAUAGACUUGAAGCCAUCAUUCUGAGAUGAGAAUUGGGAAGAUAUUAAUAUUUAGCUGACUGACUAGAGAGGAAGUUAUACAGGUAAAGUUUGUUUCUCUCAAAAAAAAAAAAAUUGUUCAGUGCUGUGUUCAGUGUAGCUGAGAAAGCAAGUGAACAAACAUUUUGAAACACUUUGAAGAGUGACUGUGUUAAUGAGGAUGCAGCAUGCCGGUGACAAUCAGCACGCGAUGCCUUCAGUUCAUUUUUUUUUUGCUCCACUGAAUAUUAUAUAGAAUCUUCAUCAGUUCUUUCCACAAGAAAAACUUUCAAAAUGGCAAGGAAAUCAGUUUAGAAAAUACUGCUAAGAGAAACCAUGUUAUUUCUGACUCCUGACUGUCAAAAUAUUUUACCAAAUUGCCCCAGAUUUUUUAUUGAAACUUAGAGCCUGGAAUACCAAAUCUGAGUGAGUACAUAGUUUUGGCUUUUUAAAUUUUAAGGCUUUCACAUAACACAUUUAAUAGAAAACUAUCAAUGUUAAAUAAUCAGUUCAAUGACUGUCAUCUUUCAGAAAAGGUUUUUAAUGUGUACAUAUUUUAUUACACUCCCUAAAGUAGUCUUUAAUUUUUUGAGACAGGAUCUCACUAUGUAGCAUUGGCUGGCCUGGAACUCGGUAAGUAGACUAGGCUUUGACCAUAUAUAGAUCCUGAGGGAUGAGCUUCUAAGGACCAAGAAUCAGUUUUAGCAGCAGCGGCUUCUACCCUUUGUGUUACAAGUUUUCUGUUUUGUUUUUUUUGUUGUUGUUGUUGUUGUUGUUGAGUUGAUGUGACAAUGAUAUUGUACAUUCACAUUCCUCUAAUUGUUCAUAUUAAUAUUUUCUUGAGCUAUUUUAGAGCUCUCAAGAUCUAUAAUUCUCAGUUGCAUUAGGUAGUGUCUGCAUAUUCUUUGCUGAUUUUAUCAUUUUUGUGUAUGGUAUUGGAGGAUUAGCUCUUCCUUUUAUAGUGUCUUUUGAGCCUUUUGUAUACGUCAUAUUCCUUUUGCACUAUUUUUGAUAAUAAAUCCCUUCUCGGUUCGUUGAAUUUUUUUACUGUAGAUACUUGGAAUAUAUAGUUUCCCAUUUUUCUUCAAGAGGCUGGAUCUAAUUUGUACUUAUUUUCUAAACUCCCUUGUGCAGGACUUCAGUCUUGGAGAGCUCAGCUUUAAGCUUUUGUGAGUAAUCCUGAUCUUGAUGGAGCAUUGUACAACUUCUCUGUGAAUCCUAGCAUCAAAGAAACAUCAUUAUUUCUCUCUUGUUUUUCAAAUUCCAGAGAUUUUUCCCUCUCUGUACAAUCUAAUCUUGCUGGUUUUAUUUUACCUUUGGAUUUUUAUUUAUUUAUUUUUUUAAGACAGUCUUUCUGUGCAGUGUUGGCUGACCUGGGACUCUCUAUGUAGAUCAGGCUGACCUAGAACUCCAGAGAUCCACUUGCUUCUGUCUGGGAUUAAAGGCAUGACCUACCAUGCUGGGCUUGAUGGCUCUUUAGCACACUAAUUUCAUUUUCCACUUCAGUUUCUUUUCUAAGUAGUUCAUGGUGUCUAGUUUGCCUUUCAUAUAAGUUGACUAUAUCCUGGACCUUUAGGGGACAUUAGCACAGGCCUCAGGUUUUACAAGCUUGGAGAACACAGUUACCUUGAGCAUGCAUAUUUGGAUCAGCACUGCUCUGUAGUAGAAUAGAGGCAUGUUCCCGUCUUGACAUUGUAAGGCCUUCAUCAGACCUGUGCAGUCACCACUUCUGGAUAGUCAUGCACACAGGCCAUAUAUAGAGCAUUGGGAGUAUGGAUAAUUCUCAAAAAGUAGCAUCACUGAAAAAUCCCAUCCUUGCGGACUUUGGCCUCAAGGAAGUUACAUCAAGGAAUACCCAUUUUUCUGACUUUCUUCACACUCCUGAGCUUUGGGCAAGUUAACAUUCAAACUAAAUCUUUCAACACCCAGUUAACAUAAAAGACUCCUGUCCAGGGGGCUGGAAAGAUGGAUCAUCAGGCAAGAACACUUGCUGUGCUUCCAAUCAGUUUGGUUCCCAGCACCCACGUCAGGAAGCUCAUAAGCCCCCUAACUCCACCUCCAGGGGAUCUGAUGCCUCUGGCCCUGUGGGCAUCUGCAUUCACAUGGAUAUAACCACAUGCAGACACAAACACCUAAUUAACCGAAAAUACAAUUUUCAAAAAGGUUCUUGUUGGGUAUGGCAGUGCUCACCUGUAAUCUGAGCAUUUGGGAAGUAAAGGCAGGAAGAUCAGGAGUUCUGAGCCAGCCUAGUUACUAUACAUAGUGAGACCCUGCAUCUAGCCAAUCAACAACAAAAAGAUGCUAAUAAUAACAGUACAUAAAUAAUAUAAAGACUCUUGAUGGUUUGUACUGUAAAGCCAGUAUUUUUAAAAAUCUCUUUAAGAAUGUCUUUACCUUCUCACACAUUCUAGAAUGUCAUUCUGGAAAAGUCCAAGAACAGUGAUCUAUGCCUCCCCCAUUGCAUCAGAGUUAACUUUAUUAUAUGAUAAAAUUAUCAGAAGCACAACCAGAAAUCUAGGCUAUUUGCUAUAACACUAAUGCUCUUGGAUUCUGUAAUGAUAAUUUUCUUGAAGUUUCUAAAUUAGCAUUCCUAAUGCUCAGGAUAAGGGUUAAUAACUAUGUUGGAAAUCUGCUUUACAGCUACUGAAGUUAGACUGGAGUGAGUCUGGGAAACCGCAAGUAAAGGAUCUGUUGUUAUUCUCCCCCUUUCCCUUAACUUUUUCUCAGUUUCCAUCCUUUGGGUUUCUUGAAGUUGGUGGUUUUACAGUGCUGGGAACUGAACACAGGGCCUUGCACAUGCUAGGGAAACACUCUGCCAACUGGGUUGCUUCCCCGCCCACUCUGUAGUUACCUUAAUAACAAAAGCCUUUGGAUUCUGAGAAGCACUCGUUAGUUGUAAGUGGUUUGUGCAACUUCCAGUCUUGAAGCUCACUGAAGGAAGUUUGCCUUCAACUCUGACUGUACAAGCAAACCAUUUAGUAAUUCAUCAGGAUGCCAGCUUUCUCCAGGAGAAUGUCAUGUAUUUUGCUUUUGGCUUUUUGAUCCCAGAAUUGUAUUUUGGGACUGUCACCACAAAGU
rnacentral:lncRNA from 1 species